rnacentral:rRNA from 1 species
AGCGGCAGGCCUAACACAUGCAAGUCGAGGGGCAGCACAGGUAGCAAUACUGGGUGGCGACCGGCGGAUGGGUGCGUAACGCGUAUGCAACCUACCAUUGAUUGGGGCAUAGCCCGAAGAAAUUCGGAUUAAUACUCCAUAAUAUUCAUCAAAGGCAUCUUUUAUGAAUUAAAGCUUUUGCGAUCAAUGAUGGGCAUGCGUGACAUUAGUUAGUUGGUGAGGUAACGGCUCACCAAAACGAUGAUGUCUAGGGGUUCUGAGAGGAUUAUCCCCCACACUGGUACUGAGACACGGACCAGACUCCUACGGGAGGCAGCAGUGAGGAAUAUUGGUCAAUGGACGCAAGUCUGAACCAGCCAUGCCGCGUGCAGGAUGACGGCCCUAUGGGUUGUAAACUGCUUUUAUAUGGGAGCAAUAAGGUUUACGAGUAGACCGAUGAGAGUACCAUAUGAAUAAGCAUCGGCUAACUCCGUG